GGCGAACGGGUGAGUAAUAUAUCGGAACGUACCCAGGAGUGGGGGAUAACGUAGCGAAAGUUACGCUAAUACCGCAUACGUCCUAAGGGAGAAAGCGGGGGAUCGCAAGACCUCGUGCUCAUGGAGCGGCCGAUAUCUGAUUAGCUAGUUGGUGGGGUAAAAGCCUACCAAGGCAACGAUCAGUAGCUGGUCUGAGAGGACGACCAGCCACACUGGAACUGAGACACGGUCCAGACUCCUACGGGAGGCAGCAGUGGGGAAUUUUGGACAAUGGGGGCAACCCUGAUCCAGCAAUGCCGCGUGAGUGAAGAAGGCCCUCGGGUUGUAAAGCUCUUUUGUCAGGGAAGAAAAGGUUGGGGCUAAUAUCCCGGACUCAUGACGGUACCUGAAGAAUAAGCACCGGCUAACUACGUGCCAGCAGCCGCGGUAAUACGUAGGGUGCAAGCGUUAAUCGGAAUUACUGGGCGUAAAGCGUGCGCAGGCGGUUUUGUAAGACUGUCGUGAAAUCCCCGGGCUUAACCUGGGAAUGGCGAUGGUGACUGCAAGGCUAGAGUUUGGCAGAGGGGGGUAGAAUUCCACGUGUAGCAGUGAAAUGCGUAGAUAUGUGGAGGAACACCGAUGGCGAAGGCAGCCCCCUGGGUCAAAACUGACGCUCAUGCACGAAAGCGUGGGGAGCAAACAGGAUUAGAUACCCUGGUAGUCCACGCCCUAAACGAUGUCUACUAGUUGUCGGGUCUUAAUUGACUUGGUAACGCAGCUAACGCGUGAAGUAGACCGCCUGGGGAGUACGGUCGCAAGAUUAAAACUCAAAGGAAUUGACGGGGACCCGCACAAGCGGUGGAUGAUGUGGAUUAAUUCGAUGCAACGCGAAAAACCUUACCUACCCUUGACAUGGCAGGAAUCCCGGAGAGAUCUGGGAGUGCUCGAAAGAGAACCUGCACACAGGUGCUGCAUGGCUGUCGUCAGCUCGUGUCGUGAGAUGUUGGGUUAAGUCCCGCAACGAGCGCAACCCUUGUCAUUAGUUGCUACGAAAGGGCACUCUAAUGAGACUGCCGGUGACAAACCGGAGGAAGGUGGGGAUGACGUCAAUCCUCAUGGCCCUUAUGGGUAGGGCUUCACACGUCAUACAAUGGUACAUACAGAGGGCCGCCAACCCGCGAGGGGGAGCUAAUCCCAGAAAGUGUAUCGUAGUCCGGAU
rnacentral:rRNA from 1 species